UAACCAUAAUUACAACUAAUCACAAACAAUAACUUAAGAUCUUACUUUGUUCCAAUCUAUAUAGUUGAAUUAAAGUGCAAAGAGGAUAAAAAUUUAACAAAUUGAACUCCAAGAUGCAUAUAAGAAUGCUUUGUCAUAACAAGCCUCCAUUCAUUCUUCAUCUUUUCAAGUUGCAGCAACAAAAUACAUGACAAGACACUUAUCAGUAGCUUCCCAUGACCAUGAUAGUGGAUACCAUGAACUGCAUAUCUUGCUUUCGCAAGCCAAAUCCCUGUACCAGAUAUUCAUCUUCACAUCAUAAACCCUGUUUCUUAUCGAGUCAACGGCUUUCAACACACAUAAAUACAUAUAAUUUUUGAUGUUAUAAACCACAAAACAUGACUUGUAAUUCUAACCUUUCACAAAGAUACUACACUCCAU
rnacentral:lncRNA from 1 species